rnacentral:lncRNA from 1 species
CAAUAAUAGUGCAUCGACUAUCCAGUGUUACAACUGCAAAAACUGGGGGUCAUUUUUCAAAAGAUUGUCCACAGAGGUGCAAUAGGCUAAGUAGUAAUAUGCAUCGUAAUAAAACAUACCAAUCUAGAUGAAAUCAGGGAAACUAAGUGAGAGGGCAAGGCAGGAGUCUUGUUCCUCUACUACCGAAAAAACCUCCUUUAUUGGAUUAUCAGUUACAAGUAAGACUAAUUUGCCAUUUAUUUCUAUCUUUAUUAAUAAUAUUAUUGUGAAUGCCUGCAUAGAUACUGGAGCCGAUGACACCGCCAUUAGUGAAACGUUAUGGAGAAAAAUUACUAAGA